GCUUACGGCCACACCGGCCUGAGUACGCCUGAUCUCGUCCGAUCUCGGAAGCUAAGCAGGGUCGGGCCUGGUUAGUACUUGGUUGGGAGACCGCCUGGGAAUAUCAGGUGCUGUAAGCU
ensembl:rRNA 5S_rRNA 5S ribosomal RNA